rnacentral:rRNA from 1 species
CCUACGGGUGGCAGCAGUGAGGAAUAUUGCACAAUGGGCGGGAGCCUGAACCAGCAAAGCCGCGUGAGGGAUGAAGGCCUUCUGGGCGGAAAACUCUUUUCGCCAGGGAGCAAAUUGCGGUACGUGAGCGGUCAGGCGCGUCUACCUACGUGACAGCAGCCGCGGUAAUACGUAGGCGGCUAGCGUAAUCCGGAUUUACUGAGCGUAAAGCGUGCGUAGGCGGGCUUUUAAGUCAGGGGUGAAAGGCUAGGGCUCAACCGUAGUGAGCCGUUGAAACUGGGAGACUGGAGUGGAGGAGAGGUGAGCGGAAUGCCUAGUGUAGCGGUGAAAUGCGUAGAUAUCAGGCGGAACACCAGUUGCGAAGGCGGCGUGCCGGACUGUAACUGACGCUGAGGCACGAAAGCGUGGGGAGCGAACAGGAUUAGAUACCCGUGUAGUC